rnacentral:rRNA from 1 species
UACGUAGGGUGCGAGCGUUGUCCGGAAUUAUUGGGCGUAAAGAGCUCGUAGGCGGUUUGUUGCGUCGGCCGUGAAAACCUGCAGCUUAACUGUGGGCCUGCGGCCGAUACGGGCAGACUUGAGUUCGGUAGGGGAGACUGGAAUUCCUGGUGUAGCGGUGAAAUGCGCAGAUAUCAGGAGGAACACCGGUGGCGAAGGCGGGUCUCUGGGCCGAUACUGACGCUGAGGAGCGAAAGCGUGGGGAACGAACAGG